UCAAUCCCCAGCACCACAAAGAAGGGGGAAAAAAAUCAAAAAAGUCAUAGGAAUGGAUAAGUAGACUGGUUCCCCCAUCUUCCCUCAUCUGGGUGUCUUUGCAGGGCUCAGUAGCAUGAUGCUCCAGAUGUCCUGGUCAAGGGGCUGUGAGUCAUGGUCUUCCAGGUCAUCCUGGUACAGACAGUGCAGAGAGGCAGCACAGUUGACAACACUCCCUGUGAAUUCAGUGGAAAGAAAACCUUGGGCUGGGCUGAGAGGUUUGGAAAACCAGUCAUUUGAGGAGAAUCUUGGAAAGUUGGAGUAGGAAGGGGCCUUGGAGACCCUUGAGCUGACUGCACCUGCCUCUUUAUUAACUGCAGAAGAGUGAAAAACCUAGCAACAUGAAAUUAAAUCUUUUUCUGCUUUGGCAUCAGUAUGCCCAUGGAGAGUGCUGAAGACAUGUGAAAGAUUUAAUGCUCAGGGAGAGCAGGAGAUUAUUUGCUUCUGCCCCAGCAACAGACUAUUCUAAGAGCUCUGAUUGCUUAAGAGAGGCAGGGCACAGACACAGAAACUGUGGAUAUGGAGGGCUGACCAGAUAGAAUUUCUUUCUUCUUAAAUGAGAUAGAGUGGAUUCUGUUGUCUGCAAUAAAGUCUGGUUUAAUGUAAGUGAUUUUCAUAAGUUACUCUGUAGUUUAUCCAUUAAUGUUUCCUUCACCCUAUCAUCAUCUAAAUUACAUCUCUUCAUUGCAAGAUAAGCUUUGUGAGGGUGUAACCUUGUCUGUCUGGUUAACAGUUUUGUCCCCACCCAGCACCUAGAACAGUUCUUGAAACACAGAAAGUGUACCAUAACCAUAUAUUGAAUGAAUGAAUGGGCCACGGGCAUUUGCUGUGGUACUCCACUCGGUAACCCACACCCCAGGAGUCUCAGCAACAGUGGGGUUUGUUAUGAAGCUAUAGUCUUUCAUUUGACUCACCCAUUUGUGUCUGGUCCAGCUCCAAUUUCAUUCUUCUGACUCAGCAAUGAAAAUAUGUACUUCCGAUGAUGAUGACAGAGCAAGUCCUUGAAUUCCCUAAAAGCUCUGCAUCAGGAAGUUGCUACUAAAUGGAGUGCCUUGCACCACUGAUCAGCAGAACAAUGCUCAGCUGAAUUCUGCUAUCAGUGGUAUCAGGCAGCAGCUGGUCAGAGA